UACGUAGGGACCAAGCGUUGUUCGGAUUUACUGGGCGUAAAGGGCGCGUAGGCGGCAUGACAAGUCACUUGUGAAAUCUCUGGGCUUAACCCAGAACGGCCAAGUGAUACUGUCGCGCUAGAGUGCAGAAGGGGCAAUCGGAAUUCUCGGUGUAGCGGUGAAAUGCGUAGAUAUCGAGAGGAACACCAGAGGUGAAGACGGGUUGCUGGGCUGACACUGACGCUGAGGCACGAAAGCGUGGGGAGCAAACAGG
rnacentral:rRNA from 1 species